UACGGAGGGGGCUAGCGUUGUUCGGAAUUACUGGGCGUAAAGAGCGCGUAGGCGGCCCUGUAAGUCCGCUGUGAAAGUCAAGGGCUCAACCCUUGAAUGCCGGCCGAUACUGUCAGGCUAGAGUCCGGAAGAGGCGAGUGGAAUUCCUGGUGUAGCGGUGAAAUGCGCAGAUAUCAGGAGGAACACCUAUGGCGAAGGCAGCUCGCUGGGACGGUACUGACGCUGAGACGCGAAAGCGUGGGGAGCGAACAGG
rnacentral:rRNA from 1 species